AUUGAACGCUGGCGGCAUGCUUUACACAUGCAAGUCGAACGGUAACAGGUCUUCGGAUGCUGACGAGUGGCGAACGGGUGAGUAAUGUAUCGGAACGUGCCCAGUAGUGGGGGAUAACUACUCGAAAGAGUGGCUAAUACCGCAUGAGAACUGAGGUUGAAAGCGGGGGACCUUCGGGCCUCGCGCUACUGGAGCGGCCGAUAUCAGAUUAGGUAGUUGGUGGGGUAAAGGCCUACCAAGCCGACGAUCUGUAGCUGGUCUGAGAGGACGACCAGCCACACUGGGACUGAGACACGGCCCAGACUCCUACGGGAGGCAGCAGUGGGGAAUUUUGGACAAUGGACGCAAGUCUGAUCCAGCAAUGCCGCGUGCAGGACGAAGGCCUUCGGUU
rnacentral:rRNA from 1 species